GUUAUCCAAUCAGGGACUCUGGGCUGGGAUCCAUCCAAUCAGGCACGCAGCUAGAGUGGACAGGACGGCUUUCGAGAUUUGGCGCGGCCUUUGUCUCUGGCUGCAGUCGUAGCUCCAGGUCUUUUCUUCUCUGUUCUGUGUCUUCUGCUCCUAGAGGCCCAGCUUCGGUGUCCCUGUGACCUGUAGGCAUUGGGAGAUCCACAGCUAAGAUGCCAGGACCCCCUGGGAAGCCUAGAAAAAUAGUUCUGCCUGCAAAGAAGAUUGUGACAUAUUGCUGGUUGCAACACCACGGUGAUGUUACUUUUUGCCUUCUCACUGCCCUCAGAAGGCAUUGUGAUAUGUUGGUGGUCCCAGCUUCAAGGGAAUGUUCUGUGACUCUCCUGUCUGUGCCCUGCCUACAUGGAUUAUUGUGACAUAUUGCUGGGUCCAACACCCAGGUUCUGCCUGUAGAAAAGAUUGUAACAUAAUGCUGGGCCCAACUUCAAGGUGGCAUUACUUUUUUGACUUGGCCUUGCUCUCAGAAGACAUUAUAACAUACUGCUGGGCCCAGAACCAAGGUGAUGUUAAGUCUUCUGACUAAAACCUACCCACAGAAGACAUUGUGACAUAUCUCUGGGCCCAUCAACUAUUUGAUGUGACUCUACUCUUAUCUGAGUUUUUUUAAUAAAAGAGAUUUUGACAUAUCUUUGGGCCCAGCACCUAGGUGAUUUGACUCUCUUCUGCUGCGUGAGCCAUGCCCAGAGAUGGAGAGUGACUUAUCACCGGAACCAGCACACAAAUGUAAUUAUUCUGACUGAUUUCUUUCCAAAGAAGUCAUUGUGACAUAUUUUUGAGGCCAUCGCCUAAAUGAUACAAUUUUUUUUUCCUGGGCCUUGCCCACUGAGGUGAUUGUGAAAUACAGCUGGGCUCAGCCCUUAGGUUAUGUGACUCUCCUCUUUUUUUCUGAGCCCUAUCCACAAUGGGCAUUGUGACAUAUCUCUGGGCCCAUCACCUAGGUGAUGUGACUCUUUUCUGGGCCUUCACUCAGGGUAUAUUAUGAUAUAUACCUGUAUCUAGCACCUAGGUAAUGUGACUCUCCUAUUCUGCCUGGGCCGUGCAUAUAUUGUGUACUGUGACAUAUUUCUGGGUCCAGCACCUAGGUGAUUUUGCCCUCCAGCACAGCCCCUGCCAUCAGGGUUAUAAUAUAUCUUUCUAUUCAUCACCUACAUGAUGUGACUCUUUUUGUUUGCCUUUGUCCUGCCAAAAAGGGGAUUGUGACAUUUCACCCAGCACCCAGGUGAUGUGACUCUCCUCUUACGAUUGGGACUUAGAAUUUUUGGUAGUGUGACAUACUGCUGAGCUUAACACCUUGGCAGUUGGAGGCUCUUGCCUGGGCCUGGCUCACAGUUGCCCUGUGACAUAAUUUUGCAUCAAUCAUCUGGGAGAUGUGACUCUUCUUUUCUACCUUCACUCUGCCCAAAGGGAAGAUUGUCACAUAUCGCUGGGCUCAGCAACCAGGUAUGUGUCUCUCCUGCUUGUGACUUGCCAAUAGAGAGCAUUGUGACAUACUCCUGAGCCAAUCACACUGGUGAUGGGACUCUGCUUCAUGUGACUUGCUUUCAGGAAGAAAUUGUAACAUAUCUCUGGUCGAGCACCCAGGUAAUGUGACCCCUCCUGCCUCACCCCUGCCCUCUGGAAAGAUUGUGACAUAACUCUGGCCUAUCACUGAAGUGAUGUGACUCUUCUGUUGGCUCUCUGUGGACAGUAUCUGGGAUUACAGGCACGUGCCACCACCCCCAGCUAAUUUUUUGUAUUUUAGUAGAGACGGGGUUUCACCAUGUUGGCCAAGAUGGUCUUCAUCUCCUGACCUUGUGAUCCGCCCAUCUCAGCCUCCCAAAGUGCUGGGAUUACAGGUGUGAGCCACCACGCCCGGCCCGGGAUGGUGACUCAUUUCUAAACCCAGCUUAUAGGCAGGUGAGGACUCUCCAAUCUAGAUCCAUCCAGUUGGAGACAUAUUGAUUCGCAUAUCUAGGCUUAGAACCAUUGGUAUGAUUAUUUGUCUAUAUCAUCACAAAGGUUGCAAAGAAGACUGCGGCUCUUAUGCAUACUGUAUAAAACACUUGAAUAGUGCUGAGUGCUGAGCUCAGCAUACAGGUGACAUUGUGACAUUUAGAUGUACACCCAACAGACAGCAAAGAUUGUCAUCAUUCUACAUUAACAGUCCACUGUUGCGUUUCUGAAUCUCACACUCAAAGUCAGUCGAAAGUUGGAAAACUGACUGUAUACAUGGAUGACUGUCAUACGUGGACUCAGUCCACAGGUGGGUUGCUGACUUUCAGACCAAGAUUUAGCACACCCAUGAUGUUGUGAAUCCACGGAGGAGAUAAAGUCUGCAGGAGAAGUUUAGGCUCCCAAACACAUGUCUAGUCCACCAAUGAGAUUGUGACUUGUGUACUUACGUUGCGGGAAAUUAAGGAACCGGAGAGACCGAAUGGAGGGCAGGAAGUGUUUAUUUAAGGUGUACACUGGCUCAGUGGACAUGUGUCCUGAAAGUCUGAGCCCCGAACAAAGAAAACGAGUUCCUUUUAAGUAUUUUGAGGCGGGCACUAUGUGAAGCAGGAAGCAGGCUUACAGAAGCAAGAACAAAGGCUGCUGUGAUAUUUUUGCGACAUGUCUUACAUCUUUGGGAAAACUUGGUUUGUAGCUUAUGCUUAUUUGUUUUGUGACCUUGCAGCUGUGCAAGGAAGAAAGGAACAGGAGCUUAUAGAGCCUACAAAAUAUGUGGAGAGUGGAUAUGGUUAAUGUUUCUUGGGACAGGCAGUUAAUUUUUUUUUUAACUUUAACUUCGUGGGGGGCUACUUAAAUUUCUUUCAGCCUUGGUUAAUACAGCAGUUCAUUCUAUGAGCUAUUAUUAUUUGUCUUACUAUUACUAUAAUCUUUACUAUUAUUACUUACGCUAUUAUUUUGUUAUUUUCUUAAUUUCUUACUUCACUUAUACCCAACCUACAGUGAGCAGUGACUCUCAUACCAAGAGCCAGGAAAGGUGUGAGAUUGGUAGUCUCAUCCCUGGACCUCCUGCAGGUGUGAUUUUGACAUACACCUCUCCUCAGCACCUGAGUGAUUUGACUCUCCUGCCUGAGUCCAGCUUACAAAUGAGAUUGUGACAUAUCACUGGACCCAGCAUCUUGGUAAUAUGACUAUCCUCCUGCUUUGGCACUGCCCACAGAAGGUAUUGAGACAUAUUGCUGGGCCUAGCACUUCUAUGAUUUGACUCUGCUGCCUGUACCCUGCUUUCAGGAAGGGAUUGUAGCAUAUCUGGCUGAGCAUCUAGGUGAUGUGACUCUCUUGCCUGGUGCCUGCCCUCAGGAAAUAUUGUGAUAUAUAUAUAUAUAUUGCCCUCAGGAAAUAUUGUGAUAUAUAUAAAAUAUAUGAUCCAGAUCAAGGUGCAAUAGUAACUAUUGUAACUUGAGUCAGCAAAUAGGAGAGAUACUGUCUCUUGUAGCUAGGCUUAGGGUAAUAGGUAAGAUUCUGGGUCUCCUCUUUGUAUGAAGGUCAUAAAGAUACCUUACUUUAUAAGGUAUGUGAGGUCACUCACAUACCUUAUAAAGCCCUCAAAUGUUACAGACAGUGUAAUUACAGGGCCCAGCACACAGGUGAGAUUGUGUUUUUUCUAUGCAUACCCUGCCAACUGUUAGGAUUGUCACCCUCACACAUUGAAAGAGCUCACUGGUGAGGUUCUAAACUACACACAUGUAUGAGGUCUACAGUUGAAAUUGCGAUUGUCAAAUAUCAACAUCCUGCUACAGUUGAGACGGUGACUCAUUUAUAAACCCAGCUCAUAGGUAGGUGAGAACUCUCAUAUCUGGACCCAGCCAAUUGAAGGGAUGUUAACUCUUGUACUUGCUCUUAGGUCCACAGGUACAAUCAUGGGUCCAUACCAGCAUGAAGGUCUCAUACUAAAUUUAUUUUUUUGUUUUUUUAUUAUUUUUUUUUUGAGACAGAGUCUCUGUUACCCAGGCUGGAGUGUAGUGGCGUAAUCUUGGCUCACUGAAACCACCGCCUUCCGGGUUCAAGCAAUUCUUCUGCCUCAGCCUCCUGAGUAGCUGGGACUACAGGCGUGUGCCACCACACCUGGCUAAUUUUUGUAUUUUUAGUAGAGAUGGGGUUUAGUAGAGAUGGGGUUUCACCAUCUUGGCCAGGCUGGUCUUGAACUCUUGACCUUGUGAUCUACCCACCUCGGCCUCCCAAAGUGCUGGGAUUACAGGUGUGAGCCACCACGCCUGGCCAACAAAUUGCCACAUUCUAAAGCCCUUGGGUGGUACUGAGUGUGUUUUUAACAGGGCCCAGCACACAGGUCAGAUUGUGUUACUUGUAUACAUACCCAGCCAAUUGUAAAGAUUGUCAUCUUUUAUGAACUAUGUUUAUAGGUGCUUAGGUUCUGAAUGUGCUCAGGUUCUGAAUAUCACAUCUGAAGGUGGUGGAAAGUUGGAAAAUUGACUCCCCUACAUAAAUUCCAUUCACAGAAUGAUGGGUGACUCAGGACCAAGAUUUAGCACAUUUGUGAGGCUGUGACUCUGCUACAGGUACACAGUCCAUGGGGAAUUGAAGAUUGUUAAUCUCAUCCCUAGACGUUUUUGCAGGUGUGAUUAUGACAUAUGCCUCUUCUUAGCGCCUGAAUGGUUAGACUCUUGCUUGUGCCCAGCCCACAAGUGGAAAUUGUGACAUAUUGCUGGACCCCAACCUAGGUGAUGUGACUCUAUUCUUUUUCCUUGGUACUUCCCACAGGAGCAUCUUGACAGAUCGCUGGGCCUUGCACCCAAGUGAUGUGAGUCUCCUCUGCUGCCUUUGUGCUUUCCACAGGGAACAUUGUGACACAUCGUUGGGCAGCACACCCGGGUUAUGUGACUCUCCUGCCUGUGCCCUGCCCACAUGAGCCAUUGUAACAUUUUACUUGGUCCAACACCCAGUUGAUGUAACUCUCCUGCCUGGGCCCUGCCUACAGGGUCAUUGUGUCAUAUCUCUGUUGCCAUUACUGUCGUGAUGUGACUCUCUUCUCCUCUUGGGAUUUUAUGUGUUGGCAUACUUCCGGGGUCUUGCAUUACUUCUCCUAACCCACCCAACUCUUGAGAUCUCACUGGGAAGCUACUGAUGACCAGUUUUAGGUGUUUCGUAUUUAUUAGGAGACUGCCUGUCCCUGGCAACAGCUGUCACCAAUUAUUACUUUAGAGAGAUAGUUCACUGCCUGGCCAUUACCUGAUUGCUGCCUGACAUUUCUGAUGUGUGUGGAGUGGGGCGCCCUUUCUUGCCCUGCUUAUGCUGGACUAGCUACCUACUGUCACACUGCAUGCAUUUGUUUUGUGACAUAUGGCUGGGUCCAAUACCUAGGUGAGGUGACUCUCCUGCAUGGGUCCUGCCCACAGGGGUAUUAUGAUAUAUUUUUACAUUCAUGAUUUAGGUGAUGUGCCCUUCUUCUUCUGCCUGGUCUCUGCCAAAAUGUAGGAUGGUGAUGUAUCACUGGACCUAGCACCUAGGUGAUGUGACUCUCCUCUUUCAUGGGCCCCACAUAUGAGUACUGUGACAUAUCACUGGGCCAAACAUGUAGAAGUUGGGAGGUGCCUGCCUAUGCCCUGCAAACAGGGCUCUAGCCCUACAACGCUCAAGAGCCUUGUGACAUAUCUCUGUAUUCCUCACCAAGGAGAUGUGACUCCUCUGCUGCUGCCUGCACCUGGCCCACAGGGAAGAUUGUGACAAUAACAUUGACUCAGCAACAGGGUGAUGUGCUUCCUUUUCCUGGGCCUUGCUCCCAGGGAGCAUUGUGACAUGUCACUGGGCUCAGCACCCAGGUGCUGUGACUCUGCUGCCCAUGCCCUGCUUUCAGAACAGGAUUGUAACAUAUCCCUGGCUGAUCACCCAGGUGAUGUUACUCUUCUGCCUGGUUCCUGCCAUCAGGGAAGAUUGUGACAUAUUCCUGUCCUAGCGACCAGGUGAUGUCACUCUCCUGCUCACUCUCUAUCGACAGGUGGGAUUGUAAAAUAUAUCCUUGUUCAGCUCGUGGGUGAGAUGAUAACUCUCAUGCCUCAAACCAGCCAAUAGGAGAGAUACUGUUUUUUGAAGCUAGGCUUAGGAAAAUGAGUAAGGUCCUGGAUCUCCUCUGUAUGAAUAUCAUAGUUGAUUACCAGCCUCUCACAUAUAUAAAUUUUUCAAGUGGUACAGACAGUCUCAUCACAGGACCCAGGACCCAGGUGAGAUUGUGUUUUUCAUAUGCACACUAUCAGCCAUUAGGAUUUUUGCCCUCACACAUGGACAGAGCCUACUGGUAAGGUCUUGAAUCUCACACGUGGUUGGAGUUGAAAUUGUGACUGUUAUUUGUGAACAUCUGGCUGCAGUUGGGAUGGUGACUCAUUUCUAAUCUAGCUCCUAGGCAGGUGAGGACUCUUAUUUUUCAUUUUUAUUUUAUUUAUUUUUAUUUUUUUGGAGACAGUAUCUCACUCUGUCACCCAGGCUGGAGUGCAGUAGUUUAAUAAUGGCUCACUGCAACCUCCACCUCCUGGCUUUAAUCAAUUCUCCUGCCUCAGCCUCCUGGGUAGCUGGGAUUACAGAUGUGCACCACCACACCGGGCUAAUUUUUGUAUUUUUAGUAGAGAUGGGGUUUCACCAUCUUGGCCAGGCUGGUCUUGAACUCCCGACCUAAAGUGAUCCACCUGCCUCGGCCUCCCAAAGUGCUGGGAUUACAGGCGUGAGCCACCAUGCCUGUCCUCUUUUACGUGGAACCAGCCAGUGAUAGAGAUGCUGACUCUCAUACCUGGGCUUAGAGACACAGGUACAAUCAUGGGUCUAUACCUUCAACAUGAAGGUCAUAGAGUGGUUUGCAACUCUCGUUAAUACUGUAGAAAUCUCUCAUGUGGUACUGAGAGAGCCUAGAACACAGACAAAAUUGUGACACUCAUACACCCACCCAGCCAACAGUAAAAAUUGUUAUCUUUCCACAUGAACACAGCCCACUGUUGAGGUCCUGAGUCUCCCUCAUGAAAACAGUCAAAAGUUGGAAAAUUGACUUUAUUAUUAUUUUUUUUUAGAGUCUCACCCACUCUGACACACAGGCUAGACUGCAGUGGUGCAAUCUCAGCUCCUGCAACCUCCACUUUCUGGGUUCAAGCAAUUCUCGUGCCUCAACCUCCUGCAUAGCUGGAAUUACAGGCAUGUGCCACCACACCCAGCUAAUUUUUGUAUAUUUUCUACAGACAGGGUUUCACCAUGUUUCCCAGACUGCUCUCAAACUCCUGGCCUCAAGUGAUCCAGGCCUGCCUCGACCUCCCAAAGUGCUGGGAUUACAGACAUCAGGCACCACCCCCAGCCUGGAAACUUGACUCUUAUAUGUGGAUGCAUUUCACAAUAUUUAGCACAUCUGUGAGUCUGUGACUCCAGUAAGGGUACACAGUCUGCAGGAAGACUUCAGGCUCUCAUAAACAAAUCGAAUGCACCAUUGAGAUUGUGAGUCUCUUAGUUAGACCCAACAUACAGGAGGUGUUGACUCAAAUUUAGAACUGGGACAUGUGUGAGAUUGUUAAUCUAAUCUCUAAGCCAUCCUGCAGGUGUGAUUUUGGCAUAUGUCUCUGCUCAGUACUUGAGUGAUUUGACUCUCCUGUCUGGGCCCAGUCUAUAGGCACAAUUGCGACAUAUCACUGAACCAGCACAUGUGACUCCAUACUCCUGCCUUGGUGCUGCCCACAGGGGAGAUGGUGGAAUAUCACUGGGCCUUGCAUCCAAGUGAUGUAAGUCACCAUUUCUUUAUUGGCACUGCCUACGGGGGACACUGGCGUAUCUCUGGGCUCAAAACCCAGCUUAUAUGAUUCUCCUAUCUUUUCCCUGCCCACAUGGGCCAUUGUGACAUACUGCUUAGUGUAACACCCAUGUAAUAUAACUCUUCAGCCUCAGCCUUGCCUACAUGGGCGUUGUGAUGUAUCUCUGCACUCAUCACCCAGGUAAUGUGACUCCUGUCUGGUUUCUGUUCAGAUGGGAUAUUUUUGCCUAUUGCUGGGUACAGCACCUAGCUGAUGGGACUCUUCCCAUCUUUCUAAGGCCCACCCGCAUGGAAGAUGGUGACAUUUCACUUUGCCCUACACUAAGGUGACAUUAAUCUGUUGCCUUUGCCCUACUUUCAGAAGACAUUGUGACAUAUUGCUGGGCCCAGCACCCAGGUGAUGUGAGUCUCCUGCCUGAGCCCUGCUCACAGAGGGCAUUGUGACAUACUUCUGACUUCAUCAACUAUUUGAUGUGACUCUCCUAUCUUACCUGGGCUUUGCCCAUAAGAAAAAAUGUGACAUAUCUCUGGGACCAAAACCUAGGUGAUGUGACUCUCUUCUGACAGGGUCAUGCCCACAGAAGAAAGAUGGCUUAUUGCCAAACCCAGCACACAGGUGAGGUAAUCCUGUCUGGUCCCUGCCCGCAGGGGUUAUUUUGACAUAUCUCUAAGCCCAUCAGCUAGAUUAUGUGACUGUCUUCUUCCUGUAAACUGUACAGAGAGAAUAUUGUGACAUAUCACUUGGUCCAGAACCUAUGUGAUGUGACUGUCAUGACUGGGCCCUGUCAUUUGGGGUGAUUGUGAAACAGGUGGCAUGAGCACCUAGGUUAUGUAACACUUUUCUUCUCUCUUAGCCCUACACACAGAUGACAAUGUAGCAUAUCUCUGGGUCUUUCACAUAAAUAAUUUUACUUUUUUGCCUGGGCCAUGUCCGGUAACAUGUUGCUGGACCUAGAAACUGGGUGAUGUGACUCUCCUCUACUGCUUAGGCUCUGGCAAAAAAAAAAAAAAAAAAAUUGUGGUGUAUCGCUGGGCCAGUACCUAGGUAAUGUGACAUUUUUCUAUUGCCUGGGCCCUGUGUAUUCUGGGUAUUCUGACAUAUCACUGGGCCCAACAUGUAGGGAAUGGGAGUACCACCUGGGCCCUGCUCACAUGGGGCCUUGUGACAUAUCUCUUUAUCCAUCACCUAGGAAAUGUGUCUCUCCUCUUCUGCCUGCACCUUGCCCACAGAGAAAAUUGUGACAUAUUACUGAGCCUAGCAACCAGGUGAUGUGUCUCUCCUGCCUGGGCCUGGCUGACAGAAAGCAGUGUGAUAUAUUCCCGGGCCCAGCAAACAGUCCACAGGUGGGUUAUUGACACUCAGACCAAGAUUCAGUACACCUGAAAGACUGUGACUCCACUAAGAAAACAGUCUGUGAGAGGAAUUGAGGCUCUCGUCCAUGGAUCUAGUCCACUGUUGAGAUUGUGAAUCAUGUACUUAGGCCCAACAUAAAAGAGGUGUUGAUUCUCAUACCUGGAACCUGGACAUGUGCAGGAUUAUUAAUCUCAUUUAUGAACAUUCCUGCAGCUGUGAUUGUGACAUAUGCCUCUGCCCAGCACCUGAGUGGUUGAAUUCUUCUGCCUGGGCUCAGCCCACAGAUUGGAUUGUGAAACAUUGCUGAACCCAGGACCUAACUAAUGUAAAUCUAUUCUCCUGCCUUGGCACUGCCCACUGGGAACCCUGUGACAUAUUGCUGCACCCAACACCCAGGUUAUGUGGCUCUCCUGCCAGUGCCUUGCCCACACGGGCUGUUGUGACAUAUUGCUGGGUCCACACCCAGGUGAUAUAAUUCUCUUGCCUAGGCCCUGCUUACAGAGAGCAUUGUGACAUAUCUUUCUGCUCAUCACACAGGUCAUAAGACAGUUUCUGCCUGGUUUCUCCUUACAGGGUGUAUCAAAACAGAUUGCUAGGCCCAGCACCUAGCUGAUGUGACUCUUUCUAGGUUUUGCCCACAAGGAACAUUGUGACAUAUCACUGGGCCCAACAGCAAGGUGAUGUUGCCCUUUUGCUUUGGCCUUGCUCUCAGAAAGCAUUGUGACAUAUUGCUGAACCCAGCACCAAGGUGAUGUGAGUUGGUAUGCCUGGACCCUGCUAACAAGAGGCAUUGUGACAUACUUCUGGGACCAUCAUCUAUUUGAUGUGACUCUCCUUUUACCUGGGCUUCUGUUAUAAAAGAGAUUGUGACAUAACUCUGGGCCUAACAGCUAGGUAAUGUGACUUUUCUUUUGCUUGGACCAUGCCCAAGGAAAGAGAGUGAUGUAUUACUAAGCUCAUCACAUACGUGGUGUAAUUUCUUCUGCUCGGUCUUUGCCCACAGGAAUCAUUUUGCUGUAUUUCUGAUUCAUCACCUAGUUGAUGUGACCCUUCUUUUUUUCAGACUUGUCUGCAGCGGAGAUUGCUACAUAUUGCUUGGCCCAGCUCCUAUGUGAUGUGACUCUCCUGUCAUACCUGAAUGCUCCCCACUGGGGUAAUUGUGACAUAUAGCUGGGCUCUGGCCCUAGUUUAUGUAACUUUUCUUCCUGACCGCUACUCACCUGGGGGCAUUGUGACAUAUCUCUGAACCUCUCACCUAAGUGAUGUGAAUCUCCUGCUUGAGCCCACUUCUCAGGGAGUAUUGUUAUAUAUUGUCACACACAGCAACUAGGUGAUAUGACUCUCUCUACAGCUUGGACUCUGCCCAAUAAAAAACUGUGAUGUAUCACUGGACCCAGCACCAAGGUUAUGUGACUCUCCUGCCUGGGCUCUACAUUCAUUGUUUUUGUGACAUACGGCUGGGAAUAAUGUCUAGGUCAUGUGACUGUCCUGCAUGGACCCUGCCCACAGGGGUAUUAUGACACAUUUUUUUAGUCAUCUAGGUGAUGUGACUCACUUCUCCUGCCUGGGCCCUGCCAGAAAGAAUGAUAGUGACUUAUCACUGAACCCAGCACUUAAGUGAUGUGACUCUCCUCUUUUGCCUGGACCUUGCAUGUUUUUGGUAUUGUGACAUAUUGCUGGGCCCAACACCUAGGAAAUGAGACAUUUUUGCUUCAGCCCUGACUACAGGCAGCUUUCUGACAUUACUCUGUAUCCAUCACAUAGGGCAUACGUCUCUCAUCUCUUCUGCCUGCACCUGCCCACAGGGAAGAUGGUGACAUAACACAACAACUAGGUGAUGUGUCUCCAGCCUGGGCCUAGCCCACCAGAAGUAUUGUGACAGCUGGUUUCUGAGCCCAGUGAUAUGUUACAAUGCUCCCUGUGGAGCCCCCUGUGACACCUGGUCUCAGAAACUAGGUGAUGUGACUACUGCCCAAGCCCUGCUUUUAGAAAGGAAUUGUGACUUAUCACUGGCCAAAUGUGACAUGAGCCUCCUGCCUGGUCCUUGCUUUCAGAGAAGACCAUGACAUAUCUCUGUUCCAGCACCCAGGUGAUGUGAUAAUACUGCCUGGGCUCUCCCCUCAGGAAGUAUUGAGACAUAUUUCUGGACCCAGCCCAUAGGUGGUAUGACUGUCCUCUACUACUUAGACUCUACCCAAGAAGCGACUGUGAUGUAUCAAUAUUCCCAGCACUUAGAUGAUGUAACUCUCUUAUGCUUGGGCCCUGUUCACAUUGUAUAUGAAACAUAUGUCUGGGUCCAUCACCUAGUUGAUGUGACUCUUCUGCAUGGGCUCUGUCCAUGGAGAUAUGAAAUAUUUUUUCAUUCAUCCCCUGCCAUUUCUCUUUUGUGCCUCUUUUGCCUGGGCCUUGCCAAAAAGAGGAUUAUAAUGUAUCACUGGACCCAGAACCUAGGUGAGGUGACUCCUAUUUUGCCUGGGGCUCACAUAUUUGGGUAUUGUGAUAUAGGGGAUGGAUGGGAGGCACAUGAGUGGGCUUUGCUCACAGAAGGCCUUGUGACAUCUCAGCAUUCAUUACCUAGGAAAUGUGACUAUUGUCUUCCAUUUGCACCCUGCUUACAGGGAAGAUUGUGACAUAUUGCUGGACCUAGCAACCAGGUGAUGUGUCUCUCUUGCCUGAACCCUGCCCACAGGGAGCAUUGUAACAUAUCUCUGGGCUCAGCAGCCAAGGGAUGUUACUAUCCUUCCCGGUCCCUGCCCUCAAGUAAUAUUGUACAAAUCUUUGGCCCAGCACCCGGGUGAUGUGACUCUCCUGCUUAUUACCUACCUGCACGUGGAUUUGUUACACAUAUGUUGUUCCAGCUCAUAGGUGUGAUGAUGACUCUCAUAUAUUGAACCAGCCAAUAGUUGAUACAGUCUCUCAUAGCUAGGCUUAGAAAAAUGGAUAAGAUUCUGGGUCUUCUGUUUUUAUAAAGGUCAGAAAGGAGUAUCACACUCUCACAUAUGGUAUAAAGUCUUCAGGUUGUACACAGUGUGUCAUUGCAGAGCCCAGUGCACAGGUGAGAUUUACUUGUGUGUAUGCACACCCUACUAUCCAUUAAAAUUGUAAUUCUCACAGACGGACAGACCCUACUUGUAAUCUCACAUAUGGAUGCAGUCCACAUUUGGAAUUGUCAUAUGUGAACAUCCAGCCAGAUAUGGGAUAGUAAAACAUUUUUAAAUGCAGCUCAUAGAAAGGUGAGGGCUCUCCUAUCUAGACACAGAAAAUUAGGGAGAUGUUGACUCUUAUACCCGGGGUUAAGAACACAGAUAAUAUGAUUAUAGGUUCAUACCAGCACAAAUGUCUUAGAAUAGAUUGUGACUGUCAUGCGAAACAUAAAGCCCUAGCGUAGUACAGAGAGUGUCCUAACAGGGCCAAGCACACAGGUGAGAUUAUGACACUUGUAUUCACACGCUUUCAACAGUAAAGAUUGUCCUGCACCCACAUAAACAACCCACUGUUGAGGUUCUGAACCUCACACACAAAGCCAGCUGAAAUUUGGAAAAUUGAAUCAUGUGGAUCUGGCCCACAGCUGGGUUGGUGACUCUCAGAUAAAGAUUCAGCACUCUUGUGAGCCUCUGACUCCACUAGGGGAAAAUAGUUCACAGGAGGGAUUGAGGCUUUCAGACACAGAUCUAGCCACCUUUAAGACUAUGACUCACGAAAUUAGACCCAAGAUAGAGAAGGUAUUGACUCUCAUACCUAGAACCAGGACGUGUGUGGGAUGUUUAAUAUAAUCCCUAGACCUUGCAGAUGUGAUUGUGACAUAUACCUUUUCCCAGCACCUAAGUGAUUUGACCCUUCUGCCUGGGCCCUACAGAUGGGAUUGUGGCAAAUGACUAAACCUAGCACCUGGAUGAUGUGAGCCUAUAAUUUUGUCUAAGCACUUUUCACAGAGAGAAUUGUGAAAUAUUGCUGGCCCUAACACCCAGGUGAAGUGACUUUCCUCUAUUGCUUGAUCUCUCUGCCCAAGGACAGAUUGUGAUAUAUGACUGGGCCCAGCACCUAGGUAAUGUGACUUCCUUCUCCUGCCUGGGCCCUGCAUACAUUGAGUAUUGUGACAUAUGGCUGGGUCUAACACUUUCAUGAUGCAAAUCUGCAUGGGCCCGCCCUACAGAGGUAUUAGAACAUAUCUGUUUAUUCAUCACCCAGGUGACGGAGAAGAGGUGGUGAUUGAUUUCACUCUCCUCUUCUGCCGGGGCCCUGCCAAAAUCAGGGAUUGUGACAUAUCUCUGAUUUUGCAUCUAGCAUCUAGGUGAUGAAACCUGGUAGCAUCUAGCAUGUAGGUGGACCUAGCAUCUAGGUGAUGAAACUCUUCUGUUUUCCCUGGGCCCCACAUAUUUUGGAUAUUAUUACACAUAUCUGGGACCCAUACCUAUGGGAUGGGGUGCUUCUGCCUGGGCCCUGCCCACAAGGGACCUUGUAAAAUAUCUUUUUAUUUAUCACCUAGGAAAUGUGACUCUCUCUUACCUGUAUUCUGCCCAUAGAAAAUGUUGUGACAUAUUGCUGGGCCAUGACAGGUGAUUUGUCUUUCCUGCUAAGGCCAUGCCCAGAGGGAGCAUUUUGACAUCACUGGACUUAGCAUACAGGCAAUAUUAAUACAGGAGUUAAAUCAAAAUUAUUUUAGGGAGUUAGUAAGAGUAAGGGUUCUCAAUGGAAUUUUUCUUUAAUAAAAAGGAGCCCCAAAGCUAUUUGUUUUCCUAAAAGAAAGCAGCCUAAAACGUGAAGCUGUAAGCAUAGAUCAGCAAGCUGGAAGCUUGCAUAUGCAAAUGCCAGGAGCUAUACUAAAAGCCAGGUACACCACACAUGACAAUUUUCCCUCCUUUUUCUGUCAUCACGUGUGCAGGUGUCAUGGCAUCGGCCAGGUAGAGAUUACAUUUACAUAAUAAAAGAUUAGGGUAGAAGGGACAUUUUCUUUGUGGGCAAUGUAAAUGGCACACCUGGUCAAACCAAUCUCCUGGGCCCUGUGUAAAUCAAUCACUGCCUCCUCAAUCCAAUCCUCUAUAAAAUUGAAUCUAUUCUGCCCCAAACUCAGAAACCCCCUUGGGUGACCCACUUUUUCUGAAAGAGGAAGCUCUGUCUCUCCCUUUCUUCUAUUAAACUUUCUGCUUCUUAAACUCA